rnacentral:snRNA from 1 species
GUACUUAUCUAGCAGGGGAGAUAUCAUGAUCACGAAGGUGGUUUUGUUUUUUUUUUGUUUGUUUGUUUGUUUUUUUUAUUAUUAAAGGCGAGGCUUUUUCGUUGCACUUUGGAUGUGUGUAUUGAUCCUUGUGAUUUCCGCAAAUGUGGGAAACUUGACUGCGUAAUUUGUGGUAGGGGCGACUGCGUUCGCGCUUUCUUCUG